GAUGAACGCUGGCGGCGUGCCUAAUACAUGCAAGUCGAGCGAACAGAUGAGGAGCUUGCUCCUCUGACGUUAGCGGCGGACGGGUGAGUAACACGUGGAUAACCUACCUAUAAGACUGGGAUAACUUCGGGAAACCGGAGCUAAUACCGGAUAAUAUAUUGAACCGCAUGGUUCAAUAGUGAAAGACGGUUUUGCUGUCACUUAUAGAUGGAUCCGCGCCGCAUUAGCUAGUUGGUAAGGUAACGGCUUACCAAGGCAACGAUGCGUAGCCGACCUGAGAGGGUGAUCGGCCACACUGGAACUGAGACACGGUCCAGACUCCUACGGGAGGCAGCAGUAGGGAAUCUUCCGCAAUGGGCGAAAGCUUGACGGAGCAACGCCGCGUGAGUGAUGAAGGUCUUCGGAUCGUAAAACUCUGUUAUUAGGGAAGAACAAAUGUGUAUGUAACUAUGCACGUCUUGACGGUACCUAAUCAGAAAGCCACGGCUAACUACGUG
rnacentral:rRNA from 1 species